UCUACCAAAUUCAGUUUAUUUUAUUGCAAAAAAUAUUGCUAGUGAAAUUAUACAGUGAGCUCAGGCGUACUUGUUUGUUGGACUGAUCCACCUCCGAAAUCAUUCUAAUUCAGUUUAUUUUAUUGCAAAAAACAAAAAAACCUGUACAGUGAAAUCAUUCUAAUUGGAUGCAAUUUUCCUGGUUUAUUUUUUUUAUAGAUGAAAAAAUUAAAAGAAGAAGAAGAAGAAGGGAAAAAAAUAAUAAGUAAAAAAACAAAAAUCAGGUCGGAAUACCAGUUCCUUC